GGAAGUUUGCUGGCAGCUGGAAGUUUGCUGGGGCCCCUUUGGCUGUGGCUCUCAACACCACCUCUUUUUUUUUGAGACAAGGUCUCAAAAUUUUCUGGGCUGGCCUCAAACUUGUGAUCCUCCUGCCUCAGCCUCCCAAGUUCGAGGAUUAUAGGCAAGUGCCAUAUACCCAGCCUGAGAUGAGCUUUAUAUGUCAUUUCAUGCUCAGAAUGAGCAUUUCAAGUAAGUCCUACCAAUGUUCCUGGGUCACAGGGAAGGACAUGAUGCCGGUAGAUUAAGGUCAUGUCUUUUAUAGGAAAAUACUGGAACCAAUGGGCAUGAUGGUGCACACCUAUAAUCCCAGCUACUCUGGAGGCUGGAGCUGGAGUAUCACAAAUUCAAGGGAAGCCUCUGCAACUUAGCAAAACCCUGUCAUGCAAUUCAGUGACAUAAAGUUCCCCUCAAUUCAAUCCCAAGUACUGCAAAAAGAAAAAAGAAAAGAAAAGAAAAACCAGAAUACUGGAGCCUAUUUUGUAAGUGGAGAACUGGCAACAUGGGAAGAAUGGGAAGAGCAGGUGGAGGAUCUUUCUUGUUGGGUUCACUAGUUCUGAUAUGCUGUUGGUCUGAUGGUCAUUAAUUUGGCUCGCCUGUGUGCUGGUGCUAUGCAGUGGAGGCUAGGCAUAGGGAGCAGCGGGGCAGAAAACAGGCAGUGAGCACCUGGAGCCUUGGGCCAGUUGGGGCCAGAGCUCUGGAACAGCCAGGCCUGGGGCCUUCUCCCAGGCCUGCCCUUCGGUUGCAUCACCCUACACAAAAACCUAACCCCCGUGAGGCCCCGUUCUUUAUCUAGUUGUGGCGAGUUGGGUUACUGGCUUCCCAGGGCUCCGGUGAGGGUGAGAUAACACGUGUGCCUACCAGCUCAGCAAUGGGCACACUGUAGGAUGAGAGGAGCUGGUAAGAGUGUUGGGAGCAUGAACAGGAGAGGUCUGAGCAGGGGCAGGGGCCCCCCUUGUUCAGGUUGAUGGCCGUGAAGAAGCCACUGGGGUUCUUCAAGUAAGGGGGAAGUCUCAGGUUGUUUUUAGGGCAGCCACAGGAAAUGAUGGAAGCCACGUAGGCAGCUUUGCAGGCCUGAGUGAGCCAUGCAAAGUGGCAGAGGAACCAGAGGACCCCAAUCUAGGCUUGGGAGUGGGUGCCUGCUGGAGGUGAAGUUGCAGCAUUGUCCGUGAUGAGAUAAAUGGAAGACGGCUCUUGCAAUUCCACAGCUACAGAAGGAGGGGGCAAAGAGGAAGGAAGGUGACGGGCAUCUCCUUGGAUGACCUGGGGGCAGUGCAGGUAGAACUCAGUGCUCUCCACAGGAUCGUGUAGGUGCCAGACUCUUGCUGUGAGUCGCAGGCUCCAUCUGGUACCUUGUUAAAAUACCAGUUCCUGAUUCCAUUUGACCUCCUGGAUCUGCAUCUGCAAGAGCAAAACCCCAGGAUGAGCAGGCUGCACAGGGACACUUGGCCACCACCUGAGCUCCCUUAGAGGGUGAGCCGUC
rnacentral:lncRNA from 1 species